GGGCCCGCACAAGCGGUGGAGCAUGUGGUUUAAUUCGAUGAUACGCGAGGAACCUUACCAGGGCUUAAAUGUAAGUUGCAUUAGUUAGAGAUAGCUAUUUCUUCGGACCACUUACAAGGUGCUGCAUGGUUGUCGUCAGCUCGUGCCGUGAGGUGUCAGGUUAAGUCCUUUAACGAGCGCAACCCUUGUACUUAGUUGACUUCGGUGACUCUAAGUAGACUGCCCACUAGGAUAGUGGGAGAAAGGUAAGGAUGACGUCAAGUCCUCAUGGCCCUUAUGAACUGGGCUACACACGUGUUACAAUGGUAAGAACAAUGAGAAGCGAUCUUGUAAAAGUGAGCA
rnacentral:rRNA from 1 species